rnacentral:rRNA from 1 species
UACGAAGGGGGCUAGCGUUGCUCGGAAUCACUGGGCGUAAAGCGCACGUAGGCGGACUCUUAAGUCGGUGGUGAAAUCCUGGAGCUCAACUCCAGAACUGCCUUCGAUACUGGGAGUCUCGAGUCCGGGAGAGGUGAGUGGAACUGCGAGUGUAGAGGUGAAAAUUCGUAGAUAUUCGGAAGAACACCAGUGGCGAAGGCGACACACUGGCUCACUACUGACGCUGAGGCGCGAAAGCGUGGGGAGCAAACAGG